rnacentral:rRNA from 1 species
GACGAACGCUGGCGGCGUGCUUAACACGUGCAAGUCGAACGGAAAGGCCCUGCUUUUGUGGGGUGCUCGAGUGGCGAACGGGUGAGUAACACGUGAGUAACCUGCCCUUGACUUUGGGAUAACUUCAGGAAACUGGGGCUAAUACCGGAUAGGAGCUCCUGCUGCAUGGUGGGGGUUGGAAAGUUUCGGCGGUUGGGGAUGGACUCGCGGCUUAUCAGCUUGUUGGUGGGGUAGUGGCUUACCAAGGCUUUGACGGGUAGCCGGCCUGAGAGGGUGACCGGCCACAUUGGGACUGAGAUACGGCCCAGACUCCUACGGGAGGCAGCAGUGGGGAAUAUUGCACAAUGGGCGGAAGCCUGAUGCAGCAACGCCGCGUGCGGGAUGACGGCCUUCGGGUUGUAAACCGCUUUCGCCUGUGACGAAGCGUGAGUGACGGUGAUGGGUAAAGAAGCACCGGCUAACUACGUGCCAGCAGCCGCGGUGAUACGUAGGGUGCGAGCGUUGUCCGGAUUUAUUGGGCGCAAAGGGCUCGUAGGUGGUUGAUCGCGUCGGAAGUGUAAUCUUGGGGCUUAACCCUGAGCGUGCUUUCGAUACGGGUUGACUUGAGGAAGGUAGGGGAGAAUGGAAUUCCUGGUGGAGCGGUGGAAUGCGCAGAUAUCAGGAGGAACACCAGUGGCGAAGGCGGUUCUCUGGGCCUUUCCUGACGCUGAGGAGCGAAAGCGUGGGGAGCGAACAGGCUUAGAUACCCUGGUAGUCCACGCUGUAAACGGUGGGUACUAGGUGUGGGGUCCAUUCCACGGGUUCCGUGCCGUAGCUAACGCUUUAAGUACCCCGCCUGGGGAGUACGGCCGCAAGGCUAAAACUCAAAGGAAUUGACGGGGCCCCGCACAAGCGGCGGAGCAUGCGGAUUAAUUCGAUGCAACGCGUAGAACCUUACCUGGGUUUGACAUGGAUCGGGAGUGCUCAGAGAUGGGUGUGCCUCUUUUGGGGUCGGUUCACAGGUGGUGCAUGGCUGUCGUCAGCUCGUGUCGUGAGAUGUUGGGUUAAGUCCCGCAACGAGCGCAACCCUUGUUCACUGUUGCCAGCACGUUAUGGUGGGGACUCAGUGGAGACCGCCGGGGUCAACUCGGAGGAAGGUGGGGAUGACGUCAAGUCAUCAUGCCCCUUAUGUCCAGGGCUUCACGCAUGCUGCAAUGGCUGGUACAGAGAGUGGCGAGCCUGUGAGGGUGAGCGAAUCUCGGAAAGCCGGUCUCAGUUCGGAUUGGGGUCUGCAACUCGACCUCAUGAAGUCGGAGUCGCUAGUAAUCGCAGAUCAGCAACGCUGCGGUGAAUACGUUCCCGGG